ensembl:snRNA U6 U6 spliceosomal RNA
GUGCCUGCUUCAGCAGCACAUAUACUGAUAUUGGGACAAUAUAGAGAUUAGCAUGACCCCGGCGCAAGGAUGACACGCAAAUUCAUAAAGCGUUCUCUAUGUUU